AGUGCAGCUCAGAGCCCUUCCGGUUUACAGCCGCGGAAAAACAACUCGGACCAGAUCCGGGAGGGGAAUGGGGGCUGGGUGGCCAAAAUUCAGUCCAGAGGAUCGAAGCGGCUGCUUUAACAGAAGUUGGGGCUGCGUAACAACAGCUCCAAGCAAAGCUUCAGGCUGAUCGGAAAGAUGAGGAAGCAGAAAAGAGACUAAAGACAGACGGACAGGAUGGCUGGGGACAACGACAGGGACCCAGUGAAAAUACGGGCAAUACCGAGGGCUGUAACCCUAACACGGGCAAAUUUGGAGGGGCUAACAUGGGCGGAAACCAUCCGUACCAGUCACCACCACUGUCUCCAGCUGUCCCAGAACCGGACUCUUCCUGCCAUCAAAAUGGCGGCGGCGACGGCAGCGGUGGUAGCACCUACGCUGGCGGUGAGCAGGCAAAGGAAGUUGCUUCCGAGCGCGUCGAAACGAUGAUGCGCACGCGCAAAGUAGGCCUACGUGGAGCCGACCUGCCAUUGGGCUCCAUACCUACCUAACAUCUAUCUUCUCAAGAACUCUGCCAGGGAAGGAGUAGUUUCUGUGUUUCAUAAACAGACUGAGACUCAAAGAGGCUAAGUAAACUACCUGAAGCCAUAUAUAGCAACACACAAUGACGGAUGUGAGAUUCAAACUUGGAUUUAUCUGGCUCCAAAAUUUCUAGUUUUUUUUUUUUUUUUUUUCCCACUACAGCAAAACUAAGGAGAAGAGACAGAGGUGAAUAGCUGUCUCUCAGUGGUUAUUCUGUUUUCCCUUAUCUACAUGUUUUCCUCCUUUCACUCUCUCUUGGUUUGUUCUUAUCCUUCAGAGGUAAAGAGGAGCCUUCAGAGAGCUAUAAAGGUUGAUCAAAGUACCAGAUUAUGAGAUUAUUUGGAGGCUAAUAUGUAAUCCUUGGGGUUUCCUUUCUCAUCUCACCCUUACAGCUGCCUGUAUUAAUGCUUUCUGAUUAACAUAUGGUCUCCUUUUUAUUCUAGAAAACACUAGAUCUGAAUAACAAAGGAUGCAUACUUAAGCAAACUAAGGCAUAUAUAGUUAUCACUAAAUGCUCAACCUGGAAAGAAUACUGGAUUGCAGUCUGCUUU
rnacentral:lncRNA from 1 species